AGUGAACGCUGGCGGUAGGCCUAACACAUGCAAGUCGAACGGCAGCACAGUAAGAGCUUGCUCUUACGGGUGGCGAGUGGCGGACGGGUGAGGAAUACAUCGGAAUCUACUUUUUCGUGGGGGAUAACGUAGGGAAACUUACGCUAAUACCGCAUACGACCUACGGGUGAAAGCAGGGGAUCUUCGGACCUUGCGCGAUUGAAUGAGCCGAUGUCGGAUUAGCUAGUUGGCGGGGUAAAGGCCCACCAAGGCGACGAUCCGUAGCUGGUCUGAGAGGAUGAUCAGCCACACUGGAACUGAGACACGGUCCAGACUCCUACGGGAGGCAGCAGUGGGGAAUAUUGGACAAUGGGCGCAAGCCUGAUCCAGCCAUACCGCGUGGGUGAAGAAGGCCUUCGGGUUGUAAAGCCCUUUUGUUGGGAAAGAAAAGCAGCAGGUUAAUACCCCGCUGUUCUGACGGUACCCAAAGAAUAAGCACCGGCUAACUUGAUG
rnacentral:rRNA from 1 species